rnacentral:lncRNA from 1 species
AAGAAGUCCAUAGACAGUUUUAGGGGUUUUCUGUGGAGAUCUCAUUUCUUAAUUCUGACUCAACCCACCAGAAUGAAUGGAUAAUUAUGGCAUUUGAAUCUUGCAUAUGAUUAAGUGAAUAAAAAUGCUUUGCCCCAUUUGCUAGUAGAAAAGAAAUAAAACCACAUUUUUGGAAUGCAAUACUUAUAUCAGUUAAAAACAACUUCUCCCUAUACUUACCAUCUAUUAGUUUGAUUUUUAGGGAGAUUUAUUAACAUUUUAGUCCUUCAUGGUAGUACUAUUGUGCAAUCCAAGAAUUAUGGGGGAGUUUUUGGAAAUGAGAGGAGGCUCAGGGAAUUAUAGGCAACCAAGAUUCUCAAGGCCAAACCCAACAGCGAUACUGAUAAUACAUGUGUGCUUACUAUCCAGUUUUUAAAUUUUCUCAUGCAAUACUAAUCUCAUUGCUUUUGUAUGUCAGAUUUUAAAAUAGAGCAUGCUUAAUAUACUUCAGAUGUCUGCAAGGGGAACAGCAGCAAAUACCACAGUCCCAUGACAGCAAAGCUCCCUUUGGAUGACAUAGAUUUAUUACUUAGUAGUAUAUUAUGUAUUGGCUGUCCCACAUUUUGAAAUUUAAUGGACUCGUGGUGAUCAGAAUAAAAGAAGCCUUCGAUGUGAGGCCCAGGCAUUGAGUACCAUGUGUGCGAUUCACAAGCCUUGGCAUCUGAACAAUUUUUUGGAAGGAUCCAUCAGGACAACACGUCGGGGGUGUACUAGUGAAGUGAUUUUCCAAAUGUGCUACUCAGACCUGUAGCAUCAGCAUCACCGGAUAAUUUGUUAGAAAUUCCAACUGUUAGGCCCCACUUUAGACCAACUGAAUGUGAAACUCUGGGAGUACGUGGGGCCCAGCAAUUUGUGUUUUUACAAGACUUACCAGGUGAUUCUGAGAACCACUGUGCUAGUGAAUUGUUCCUGUCUGUGGCCACGUAGAAUAAGAAAACCAUAGGGUUGGAAAAUGGGGAAACUGGUGAGUGUUCGCUUAUGAGGAAAUGAAGAAUAGAUAGAAAAGAAUUAGUUAACUUUUGGAAUUCAAAAGAGAAGCAGUUUGUAAAAGCCAGGAAUUUGAUUUGAAGGACUAAUUGCUUGCAGAAUCUUUGCUUUCUCAGAGAGGGGCAAUCCAGAUCACUAGGUUACCGUGAAAUAUGUUGGUAUGGCUCUAAAAUUCUAGAAUAAUCUCUCUAGUGAGAAAAGGCAUACCUUUCCAUAUUAGGACAAAACUUCAAAUCAGGUUUGUAAAAUCCUAUAAGAUUAUUGUAUCCCAUUGCCAUGGCCAACUUGUUUGUCUCUGGAGAUCCCAGUUUCUACAUCUGAAAACCAUAUGCAUUCCUGCUCACCAGGAAUUAUCUCGCUGAAUGAAGCAAGAGAUUCAGGAUGUGUAAGAGAAUUUAUGAAGCAUUUGGAUUACCAAGAAAUGUGAAGUAUAAAGAUCAAGAAUGAUUAUUACAAACACUGAUGGUAAAGAGGUGUUUCGAAGUCGAUGCAAAAAAUGAGUUGCUUAUUUCAGUCUCUCUUUGAUAUAUCUGCCUUUUUAGUGCUGACUCUAUCAUGUAUUCACUAUUUGAUUUUCAGUGAAUCACAUUUUUUAAAGCUUUUAAUCUGUUUCCUCAAAAAAUAUAUUUUUUAAAAAUAUUUACUCAGGAUUGUUGUGAGAAUAAAAUUGAUUCGAUUGAUAUUUCAAAAAAGAAAUAUAUUUUUAAAAAAUAAAGCAAUACCAUUUUUGGAUAUGCUAGUGCUCUGACUGUUAUUUUAUGUCUGGGUUGAGGAAUCCUAAAGGACUGUUGACAUAAUGACAUCAUCCAGGGGUUUGGAAUAAGAGUAUACAUCAGCAAGUUUUCUGAUUACAAAAAGUAGCUAUGUUUACUUUUCUGUUAAUUCUCCUUCAGUGGAAUGUUUCAAUUUUCUCAUGAGAUGGGGGAGAUCCAUUUUUUUGAGAGCUCUGUUUUAUUAAAGAAAGCAAGUCUGGUGGCUCAUGCCUAUAAUUUUAGCACUUCAAGAUGCUGAAGUGGGAGGAUCACCUGAGCUCAGGAAUUCAAGACCAGCCUGGGCAACAUAGCAAAAACCUAUCUCUAUGAAAAAUUUUUAAAAAUUAGCUGGGCAUGGUGUUGCAUGCCUGUAGUACCAGUCACUCAGGAGGCUGAGGUGGGAGGAUCACUUAAGCCCUGGAGGACUAGGCUGCAGUGAGCAGUAAGCUAUGAUCAUGCCACUGCACUCCGGUCUGGAAGACAGAGUUUGUUUAAAAAAAAAGGCAAAUUUGAUACUUUGUGUCCUUUGAACUGAGAAAAUACAUUUCAUUCAUUCUUUCAGGGAAAAAAAGUGGGACUCUGGAGUCAGAGUCCCCAAGGUAAAUUUCUCAGCUCCUAUGCUUAGUAAUUAUGCUACCUUGGAAGAGCCUCAUUUUCUUGAUAUAAAAAAUGGAGGUGAUAAUAACAGUUGUAUGUGCAUGAAAUGAGAAAUGUAUAUAAAAUACAUAAUCGAUUGUCUGGCCUAGAGUAAAUCCUCAAUAAGUGUUGAUGGUUGGUGAUGAUAUUAUUAAACUAUGGCAUAAAGAGGAGAAAAAAGAACCUGUGUCCAAAAACCAAGGGCAGGAAGGAAUAAGAAGACAAGAGAGCAGUUGAUAAACGAUCAUUUUACAAAUGAAAAUUUGUGCAGCUCCUGUGACUUUUCCAGUCAUUUAUUAAAACCAAACCAUUCUUUGAUCACUUCUAAGGAGAAAAGUGAUCAUAGUAAUUUACAACGCUUACAUGUAUGUAACUUUCAAAAUUUCAAUCUUGCCCAAGAGUUAAUAUCCUCCCUCCCAUGGCUUGACUGUGCCUUAGGAAAGGGAAGUCCUGGGUUUCUCACUCUCCCUACUUAGGUGCCUCCCUUCCUCUUCCCUCAUUUUGCUAACUAAGGUUUCUUGCCACUGCAGGAUUAGAGCUCACAGAGGGAAAGAGGUGCAGGAGAUAAGAAAACUCUUACUUGACAAGGGCUAUUGGUGAUCUGGUGUUUACACCUCAAGGUUUGGCAUAUGCUCAAAGCUGGCCCUUUUUCUAGCAGGUGCUUCUUUGGGGUUUUCUUCUCUCUCUCUCUCUUUCUCUCUCUCUCUCUCUCUCUCUCUGUCUCUCCCUCUCUUUCUCUUUCUCAAAGCUUCCCUGGCAUGCAGACAUGCCCUUGUGUCCUGCUUCUCUGUGACUGCUGCCACAGCCCCUAGGAGUCAUUCAGUGGUAUACCCCUUGUUCCUUUUUGCAUGACACCUUUUUUUCUUGUGAGUGACCCCUUGAACAGGGCUUAAGACAGCUUUCUGUCUUGUAUGGCUCAGAUCUAUCCAAGGGAAUUACUUUGCCUCCCCAAACUCAAAGGUUAGAUGGUUACAUUUUAAACUCUCUCGGUGGUUCUCUGAAUCUCCUUGUCUCAGGCUUGAGGUGAGAAGCAGACAGCCUCUAUAGCAUGCUGAUAACUUUCUCCAAAGACCUUCUCUUUGUCUUCAAGAAUCUUCAACUCUUUUAUACCUUCAACAUAAGUAUAUGGUUGUAAGAAUUAUGUAACUAUUUCUGCCCCCCUUCCUUUGGAAAACUUGCAUUAUACUGCUAUAUUUCACUUUGGAAUAUGUUUCUAGUGUUUGGGUACCUUAGGCAAAAUAUACUCAUUUUUUUUUUCCUUUUUCUUUUUGAGAGACAGGUCUCACUAGUCACCCAGGCUGGAGUGCAGUGGUACAAUGAUAGCUCACUGCAGCCUCAAACUCCUUGGCUCAAGUGAUCCUCCUGCCUCAGCCUCCUGAGUACCUGGGACUACAGGCACACACCCCCACACCUGGCUAAUGAAAUUUUUUUGUUUUGUUUUGUUUUGUUUUGUUUUGUUUAAAGGCUGGUCUUUAACUUCUGGCCUCAAGGGAUCCUGCUGUUCUGGUUUCCCAAAACACUGGGAUUGUAGACCUGAGCUACUGCACUGCAAUGGCCAAAAUGUGGUCUAUAGCGCCAUAUUAAAGGUAAAAGGGGGAAUAAAUCACUUUGUGGAUGCCCUGACUUUACAGACCAUCAUCGUGUAGGAGGUGAGGCUGCUGAGGAGAAGAUGCUUUACACACGCAAGGGUUGUAAUAAUGACUUUCAAGGUACUCAGUCUAAUCACAAAAUAGAGCUUUAAAGGUGAAUUAUUUUUGAAAUGUUCAUAUUUAGUAUUUUCCUCAUAGGCAGAAUUUUGAAAGAGUGCGUAUCUGAGGCCUGACAUAUUGUUUUGGGAGCUAAAAUGUGUUUAAAAUGUAACGUUCAGAGGAAGUUAACUGCUAACUUUUCUCAGUUGUAAGAUGAUUCCAGAUUCCCAUGUAUAUAAAAUACAUCAGUCUUAAGACAAAUUAAACAAAAUGUAUUAUGUAUUUUCUUUAAAUUAUUAUUUUUUGCACUUCAGGCAUAAAUAUUUUUAAAUAUGAAAACUCCACAUAAACAUAUGCGUACAACUCUGAGCUCAUGUCAAAAAUGUCUGCGACUGCCUCAUCAUAGUUUUGGAAAUAAACAUCUUUAUUAAAAGACAUUCAACAAACUUAAAAUUUUUUUUAAGGGGGAGGAUGGAAUCAAGGUUAACAGAAGGAAGUGCCUUUAAUUUUUGUAUACUUUUGUAAUUUGUUUUACCCCUGGAAAUUAG